GAUUCCAGAGAGUCUGUGAGGCCACUAUUGCUAGGUGAGACGCUUUUCGUUGAUUGGAGGGACCACACUGGAGGUGCGAGUCCGUCGUAUACUGGCUUAUGCCAUUACAAACGAACUGGCCACUGUACUCAACUGGGCGGGGAGAAAAAACAAGGACCAGACAAAGCAAAAGAGGGCAUUUAAAGAGACAGCGCUGUGCAGAUGCAUAUUUGAUGGCCUGACUCAGCAGGUAGGGGUGAACUCUAUUUCUGAAUUUGCCUUUGCUCAAGCAGUACAGAAAUGGCUCAGAUAUGCUCCAGAUCGUAUGGGUGGCGCAGGACAACCGACAUCCAUCCCCAUCCCAGAGUAAAUUACAAACAGUGACGUGAAACAAACCCAUAUGGAAAAGAAAUAGGAAAAACUUAUAAAAGAUUUGCAUCAGCUUUAGCUUGCUUCAUAUAGUGAAUCAUAUAAGGCUUAUAUGAUUUACUCAUGAAAGUGUCCACUUUCUCAUUUACUUUCAUAUAUUGUUUUAGGAAGUAUUUUUUCCUUUCAUACAAGUUUCACACAAGACGGAUACAAACCUUAUAAGAUUUAUAUAUAUCUUUUCCAUAUGGGAAGACGUAACAA
ensembl:lncRNA